UGUGACUUGUAUCGUAGGUACAGUAGGUGGCGUGAUAGCUCACAUCCAAUUACAUUGUUCUUCCGUAUCCCACUGUACGGUAUGUCGUUAUAAGUUGUUGCAUGUGUUACAGUUUCAUUUAUUUAUUUUGAUUUUUUCCAGGCUGUAUCGCUUUCUAUUGACAAACACUGUGGUUAAUUACUCUUAACGUUUCCUGCUGUUUACAGUACUUUAGUAGAUGAUGCAUAUUUUACAAUUCAUUUGCGUCUUUCAUUCUGUUUGGCUUUGCUCUGCAAUAAAAGAGAUAUUAACCACUUACACCUGUGAAAGUGGCAUCAGGACCCAGGUUGCUUCCUGGACCGAUUCCAGAAGAGAAUGUCAUCAAACAUGGACCAUGGCUAAGAACAACCAAGUUAUUGGGGAAUAUGAGGAAAAUGGGCAACCAGGAUGCAUCCUUCCAUGUAAAGACCUACAGUCAGGAAAAAUUAAGAUAGAUGAUUGCGUGGAUCUGGAACUUACAGUGGUCUGCACUUCAGAUGAACCCAACUCUGACAAGGUGGAGGAAACACAUGUGUUAUUUCGUGGUAUGUAUUUUUCUUGGUGGGAGGUGGUGUUUGCUCUGCAGUAGUUGCCAGUGGUUAAUCCAUGUUUGGUUACUACAGUAUAUGUACAGUAGUUACAAUCCACACUUUAUAUCAGACCAAAAUCAGGUCGAAAACUGUUGUGCAGUGUUGGAUCAGCCACACUGCCAGAAUGUGUAGCACAGAGGUGUCGCUCACUGGUAUACCAUGUGUCUUGGAGUUCAGCUGUACAAAUGAAAAGAUAAUGUUAUUUAGAUUGCCUAACACGUGGCUGAAUACAAUUUUGGUCUAAUCCACACUUCUCACAGAAGAAUAAUGUGGUUUCAAACAGUUUAGUGAAUAUAAAAAAAAAAUCCCUAAGAAUUGAGGGAUGUACCGUAUGUAAGAAACCACAAAAAGCUUGUUAUAAAUACAGAGGAUUCCUAUAAAAUAUUACAUCAUGUAGCAUGUGAAACUGUCUGUACCUCAUUUUCUUUCCACUGUAUAAUUUUUCAAGAAGUUUGUCUAAAAAAUGUAGGGCAAUUGAGGGCUUCUCAAAAUGUACUUUUCUUGUCAUAUUAAUAUAAAUCAAUAUAAGUAUAAUACUUAAAG
rnacentral:lncRNA from 1 species